CCUACGGGAGGCAGCAGUGAGGAAUAUUGGUCAAUGGACGAGAGUCUGAACCAGCCAAGUAGCGUGAAGGAUGACUGCCCUAUGGGUUGUAAACUUCUUUUAUAUGGGAAUAAAAUGUUCCACGUGUGGGAUUUUGUAUGUACCAUAUGAAUAAGGAUCGGCUAACUCCGUGCCAGUAGCCGCGGGAAUACGGAGGAUCCGAGCGUUACCCGGAUUUAUUGGGUUUAAAGGGAGCGUAGGUGGAGUGUUAAGUCAGUUGGGAAAGUUUGCGGCUCAACCGUAAAAUUGCAGUUGAAACUGGCAGUCUUGAGUACAGUAGAGGUGGGAGGAAUUCGUGGUGUAGCGGUGAAAUGCUUAGAUAUCACGAAGAACUCCGAUUGCGAAGGCAGCUCACUGGACUGCAACUGACACUGAGGCUCGAAAGUGUGGGUAUCAAACAGGAUUAGAUACCCGGGUAGUC
rnacentral:rRNA from 1 species